AAGUAUUAUAGCCGAAGUGUUUUCAACUGAUUAUUAUGCAUGAGUAAAAAUUCCAUGAAUGUGUAACAUUUUCGCCUGUAUUUCCCUCUUUUAUAACAUCAUUUAAAUUCCUCAUUAAUAAUUUAGAAAUGUUCUGGAUUUUAAUCACUUUUCUCAUCACCGCCACCUCCGCGGCAGAGCGCUGCCCGUUACCUGAAGGUGACAUGGAGGCAGCGCUGUCUCACAGGCGCUGCCCGGCCCCGCUUCUGCCCGGCCCAGGGGCCCGCGCUCCUUCCUUGGGCAGAGCAGGGUACGAACACCGAGGUCUGAGCAGGUCGCUGUUAAUAAAGAUUGAAAAAAGAAAAAAAAAAAUCAGGAUUUUUUGUUGUUGCAUCUGAGUUUAAUUAUGGUGGUAUUUGUUUGAUAGCUUGUUACUGUAAAUAAAAGAGAUAAAAGCAGCCCUUCACUCGAGUAGCUCUAGAGCUGUGAAAUAUGUACCUAAUUAAAACUAUUGGUGUAAGAGGCUAAUAAAGUACAUGUGCCUACUAGAUGUCUUAUUCUAAUGAAUCUCGGCUAAUUUGCUUUGAGUGAUGAAUUUCGGUGUUAGUAGUAAGGGCUGAAUAAUGAUGGAAUUUAUCACGAGGUGCGGGGACUGGUGGAGGACCAUGGGGGCUCGGGGAGAGGCGGGGAGAGCCCCUGGCUGUGGGGCUGGCUCCGGUGCUGCAGAGCAGCAGGGCUGAGCUCGGCUUCAGGCUGCCAGCGCCCAGCCCGGGCCUCGGAGGCUCCGAGUGGUGGCACAGGAGUGCUGGUGAGUGCCAUCCUCCCAUCCUCCCCUUUUUUCUGCCGGCGCUGGUGAGGAACGGGCUGUGGCAUGCUUCUCCAGACUCCCAAACCAAGCGCAGAUGGGUUAUCUAAAGCAUUUCAGAUGGAGCUUUGGUCUUGUGCCAGCAGCUAAUCAAAGUCUUAAUUCUGGAAAAGACAAAGACCAGGCUUUCCAAGCUUCCUCCCUCUGGUUUCUCACAGAGAUGUGGCACUUCUCAAACCCUUCUUGCCCUGUGCACUGCCUGCAUCAUUCAUGCUGUGGGGCUGCCUGUGGGCAGCAGGCAGCUUGCACCAGCCUAGUGGGUGGUGUCCAUGAACGUGCGGGCCAACAAGGGCCUGCGUCAUGGGGGCCUGCGGGCGCCUUGUCCCGAGUGCACCACAACACAGUCAGACAAGAACAGUGUGGUUGACAGCCCCGGCCCUGAGACUGCCAUUGGCCUUGUUUGCAGAAAGAGAGAAGCUGAGAUAAUAAUAAAGGGGCUGGUUAAGCAGAGAAAAAGCCUGCAGUGUAGCACAUAUUUUUAUUGCUUUUCUGCAGUACAGCAGAGAAAGCAUCCCAAGGCUAAAUGUCUAUUGUAGUCCCCAGUGGUGAGUAUUUAAACACUCACACGUGUGCACGUUCUCGCAGCUCCUUCCACUUGUGACAUGGUGGGAGGGUGGUGGGGCUGCCAUUCCGGAAUGCCCAACUUUAACCCAGGGCUGGUGCAAGUCAGCAGGGCCCCAGCCUCGUAUCUCCUUGCAGCAUGUGCCAUACAAGGGCUUUAUUUAUAACUAAGCAAUCUGGGCCGUGCUGUCUACGCUGGAGUUAGACCUGAUGAGUUGAAGUUACUUGCUGAAAGUGUGUGAUAGUUGCAGCUGCUGAAAGCACUCUGGCAAUUUCUGAUAUGCACAUGAGUUCGGGUGCUUUUUUUCCACAAUAGCUACAUCUGCAGUUUUUCUACAGAAUGAAAUUUUCACUAUAGCUCAUACUAGCUGGAUAGACAGGUGGAGCUUGUUAUUUUUCUCACAAAACCUACCUUUUCAGAAGGAAGAGAUUGUGUUUCAUGGUUGUACAAUCUAAUAGUAUGGUUGAUUGAGAAUAAGAUUGAGGAGAACUAGACACUCACUGUUUGACCUUAGGAAAUUCUCUUUGUCAUUCCAGAAAGUUGGUUUCUCUGUCGAUAAAAGCACAGUAAUAGCUAAAUCAAAGAAGUCAGUCAUCAAUAUCCAGAAGUUGCAUCAGAAUUUCAGUUGGAAUUGUUGAAUAUUGUUACAGAAGCGGAGUUUAUUGUGCUUUCUCAGAGACUUGCAAGAAUUAUUUUCUUCUACUGAUAGAAUUCUUUCCAUGUUGCUCAAUCAGUGAUCAUUUUAAUAUAUUUUUCUGCCUCUCAGGUACAUCUCAAAUAUUUGUGUCUGUGCAGUUUUCAUGGUUUUGUAUCUUGUUUCUUCCUGUAUAAAAUACGUGUUGUGAGCUUGAGGGAACACUUCCUUUCGACUUCUUUGUAAUUACCAGAAAUAGUUUUAACCUGUUAAAACAUUCUGGCCAUCAGCAUGGUAAACCUCAUUACUCCAUAGCAGACUUUCCUGUGCAUUGUGUUUACCUGCUGAUAACAUUUCUAAUAAGAAGCCAAACACCAGUGAAAUGAGGGAGGUGCUUGCAUUGUUGGAUCUGGUGUGACUUUGUGUAAUAAAAACAUAAAAGAACAAAUGACACUCCUGUAUAACUAAGACAGAGAGAAAGAAACAUAAUUAACUUGUUUCUGCUGGCUUUUCUUCUAGGAAAAUAAAGCCUGUUUUCUGGACAGGCUUUAUUAACACUGUGAUCUGAUAUGGGGUAGCAGGGAUUCCUGUGCCUGUGCAAAUGUUUUUUGAUUUCAGUGUGAUACCACCAAGAGACCACUGCAUAGAUGGCUACCCUGUUUUAGAGGACAGUAUAUUAGGGUCCACACUGAGGCCUGGAUGUUAGGUACUCUGAACUGGAGUUACACAUAUUAAAAAGCUUAAGGGCUAAACUGAGUUACUAUAACAAAGCCUGAGGCUGCAAGGAAGCUUUCCACCCAAAGGACAUUUCCUAAAUGUUGCUAGCAGAUGGCUCUACUAUCCCACAGGCUGGGGAUAUGCUGACUUUUCACUCUUGGUAUUACUUGUCCUCACAUCACAGGACUUGCAAUUUUUGAUUUUCUAAUGAGCUUGAUCUGAUAAGCUAAGAUAAACAGACUUUUAAAAUAAAUUUAAAAUGUAAAGAUAAUUUAUAAUUCUGUUGUUGAGAUUCACAGGCAUGGUUAAUAUAAUUUCCUUUUUCCUUUGGCACUUAAGCAAAAUCUGGCCUAUAUUUAAUUUUUCUGUUGGUAGAUAGGGAGAAGGCUAAUCACAAGAGACCAGUAGUGCUAUUUGAAUGACAUGUCCUGCAAUCUGUUUUUGAACAAUCAGUUAAUUUUUCAGCAGUAUUAUCUCUUUUUUCUGUACCCUGCCUUUAUUCACUAGCUUUAUUCUACUUUUUUGCACUUUUGCCUCACCUUCUCAAUGAUGCCAGAUACCUUGCAAUAGGUAGUCCCAUUUCAGAGAUUCCCUGCUCACUGAACAUCUGUCUGAUGAAGUCUGUCUGCUUUUGCACAACUGGAGCAAUGCUGUGCUGCUGCCUAGAUGAGUGUAUGAAGUGAAUUUGGACUGGUUCAGUGAAAGGGAGCUGUUUAUGAAUGAACUCAGUUCACAGAUGCAUGACAUCUGAGAAAAGUGAAUGCAAGACUUCAUCCCUCUGGGUCAAUAAUCUUUAGGACAAGGCAAAGAGGAGACAGAAAUUGAGGAGAUGCUGCUGUUUUGGCGUCUGUAUUUCAAGUCACAGUCCUGUCAGCUCAGCAGAAGUCAUGCAGUGUGAGUAGUGCCAAAACACAAUUGAUGUUUGUGCAUGAAUAUUUAUCUUCUGCCUUUUUACUCCAUUUUGCAUUCUUACAGGCAUUGCACACCUUCUUUGAAGACCUACCAGACAAAACCCCAAAGGUCCUUUGUUUUGUAGUUCACCGUACAGUGAGCCAAACAGUGGAUCUGUGGGUGCUUUUGGGUCACCUUCUUCAUGGGGCUUUCUUCUGAGAGACCAUCUCUGUUUAGACUGGAGUCCUUCUGAACUGUGGGAAAGAGCUCUUCCAGCUGCUGAGUGGUGACCCCAGACAUCAUCCUGAGGAGAUGUCCCAGAGCAUCUGUCUGGACUGUGAGAUUGCUUUCAGCAACUUGUGCAUUUGUUCUUGGAGUGAUCAUCAGGGGAGGAUAUGGAUGGUACUGAAAUCCUGACCUACGUCUCACACUCUUGUUCUGGAUCCUGAUGCAAGCUGGUAGGCCGGGCUGCCUUUCCCUCCUCCUUUUAACUCAUGUGUAGUUCUUUGGCAUGCAUCCAAACUGAAUGCAGUAUGGAGGAAAAGGUCUGCAGGUUCCUGGAGCAUAUAUACACAUGUGGUCAGAUCCCCAUCUCGUUAAAUUAGCAUGUGGAGUGGAGACCAGCUACUGAUUUAUGUUUUCAUCUGUGAAAGGUAAAUUGGAUUGAAACUGUUUAACACACUGUUUAAAAAGAGGAGCUGAGCUUCUUGGUUACAUUUGAUUUCUGAAUUAGAAAGCACACGACUACGUUUCAUGGACCUGAAAGAACUGGGUCUGAGUUAAUAUGAUGCCUAUACCAUUGAUUUCAGUCGAGCCUUUUGUAUCAGAAACCACACGUACACAGAGCCUCACAUUGUGAAGCAAGAUUAAUUUAGCUUUUGGAAUAUUAUGUGCUGUAUAAGAAUGUUCUGUGAAUGACCUGGAUUGCAAAUUUUGCUUCUUAAUAUUUGCAGUGCAGAGCACUGGUAACAUGAAAUACUUAAUGGUUUCAGCUGAACCUUGCAGAAAUGUGAAUGACAGGCACCCAAAAUAAGAAGAUACAUGGUGGAGAACUAAGCAACGUAAGGCUUACCGAGUUAGAUAUUUAAAGCCUCAGUCAAAAUGAUAAUAUAGAUGUGAAAGUGGUUGCAAAGAGUUUAGAGCUGCAGUCCUUCUAAGAACAAAAGGAGAUGGCCCCUCUCUUGCAAAAAGGUUUGCUGGGCUUUGCCUGCUUUGGCAGUGCAUGCAGCACAGAGCUUGCAGGAGCUGCUCGCUACUUGACAACCAUGCAACCAUGCUACCAGACUCCUGAUACUAUUCUUAAAGUGGACCUUUCUUUAGGAAGAAAAUGGUUCCAUCGUUUUUGAUCAGGCUCUUCCUCUACAGGAGUUCCUGCAGCUACAUGACCAGGAGAUGUCUGAGGUCAAGAAAAGGUUAAAGUUGUUCACUGCUUUCAAGCUCUGGCCUUAGAAGUUAAUUCAGUGCUGUGCUGCGAGAGCUACAGAGUAAGCCCUUGGAACAGUGAAUUGCUGGUUUGAUAUCAAGGAGAAGGAAGACAAAGAACCAUUAAUUUGGGACGAGGGGAGCAUGCUACAGAGAGAUUUCCCUGAGCCAUGCCUGUGGUGCAGAGCGGCUUCUGGAUGUGCUGAGGGACGGGUCUGGUAGGGCUUCAUUUUCUUCCUCCUCUGUAAACUAUGUCUAACAGCUUCAGUGAGAGAAAGCAUCAAGCCCCAUCUUGUUCAUAGAAAUACAACAUAUUUUAAAGCUGUAGUUAAUGGAUAAGCUGCUUUCUGAUUGGGUGAGCUGCACAAUAAAUCUCUCCAUGAGCCAAGUGCAGUGCAGCUUGUUCAGGAACAGUGAAAUGAGCCACUGUCACUUUGCUGCAGUCUCAUACAUCAGGCAAAACACUUCCAUCUUCAUCAGUCUUUUAGUAAAACAGAAAUAAAACAAUCGUAACAGAAUGGUGUCACUGGAUCCGUGGCACCUGCUUUAAAAAUAAAUCUCUGAGCUUUGUCUUCGCUAUUACUUUCAAUAAAUGUCCUAGCAUUGCCACAGCAUUUAUCUAGCAGCAGGAAACCAUUAUCCUAUGACAACAAUCUAUUCCAUUAACAUUAGCUCUUAAUUGUAAGAUUGUUUAUAAGACAGCAAAAGCUACUGAAUUAUACUAGUAUGAUAAAAAGAGCUAUGGUCAUGGAGUAUAGCAGUCACUCCAGUUCUGAAGAACUUUAGAAAAGUAGAGAGCUAUAUUUUCAUAUGAAAAAUAAUGUACUAUUUGUAUGCAAGAAAAUGUUUUUAAAUAAUUUUACAUCAGCAAAAUAACUCUUAAAGAGUUAAUGUUAAAAAACUGUUACUGAGAAGCUUUUGCUUUGAUAAAUGGCAUAACAAAAAAGCUGAAUAGAAAGCUUAGAAACUUGCAUAGUUCUUCCUGAAAGGCUGUACUGAGUCAAACAGGGAAAUCAUAGUAACAGAAGCACAUUUGUCUGGUGGAGUCAACAGAAGGAAUGUUGCAAAAUUGAGAUAUGAAGAACCUGACUGCAGAAUAGAAGAACUGUCAUUCUGAUUGUUUGUCAUUAUUGUUUCAUGUCCAGUUAAGUGAACUUCGAGUGACAGUUGUGUCAUAACUACUGGCAUCUAUGUAAAUUUCAAAUCAAAUGCAAUAGAGGCAGUUCUGCCAGACACAAGUCACCAGGCUGCUUUUCCUCUUUACUUUUGUAACCCUCAAUUUUCUUAUACUAUGCUGUUAGCCCUUACAUUAAAAAGACAACUUCAACAAGAGAUCCCUUUAAUAUGCGCUUUUCAGAUCUCAUUCCAUACCUUAUUUUUCCCUCACCUCUUUGAAACAAUAGCUGAUGUCAACAUUUCUAUCAGAAACAAUCACCAUAAACAUUUAGAUAUAUUAACUGCUCCUUCCCAUCGAUCACCAAAAUCCUUGGAAACUCUUAAGUUGUGGACUUCCCCUGAAGAUCUAUAGAGAAAAUGGUUCAAGUGAACACUCCUCCAUUCCUUCACUGAAGCCAAGUCAGUUGUGACAAGCUCUGUGGGUAGGUGCAAAAUACACAGCAAAAAUAUCGGCUGUGGAUCCUUUCUGUAAAUAAUAGCCUCAUCUAGGGGUUAUGGGGCCUUCAUAAGGAUACCACUCGUACUCCUCCAUGGCAGUGUGUUACAGUAAGUAACUCGCUUCCUGGAUGCACUUAUAACAGGCAUAUAUUCUAAUAACACAGGAUAUGCAGACAUGUCCAGGUCUUUAAAAAGUCUUCCAAUGCAAUUAUUAAAGUAUUACGUGCAGAUAACGCCACCAAAAACAUUGAGCAUGCAGUUCAUUCAAUUGAGCAUGAAACAACUUCCUUCUGAAUAUUUUAAACGUACUUGACUAAUUAAUUAAACAAUUAAAAAGGGCUAGAGUUAAAUUUCUAUUUUUCAUUGUAACAAAUUAUUUCAAAGCAUUGUUUUAACUAAAUUCUGCCAGGACUCUUUUUGGAAACCACAACAAAGUGCAGCUGCGAUGUUAAAAAAAGUGUUCCUUUGACAAAUGAAAUCUUAAAAAUGGCUACAAGAAAGGAAAAAGUCAGCUCUGAGUGGAAAGCAUUUAAUAUGUUUUGAUGAUUUCUUAUCUCAGACAGAAGAGAAGACAAGUUGAUUUUCUAUGCUGAAACUUUCUGAAGUGAAUUCUGACUGAAAAGAUGUGGUGUCUUAACAAAAACAUAUUCUUAUAAAACAUGAUGUAUGCUCAGAAGCAUUAAUAUGUACCUCUCUGCUUCAGGUUCGAACAUCUCUUUCCAUUGAACUAGCCUGUUUCAUUUAUUUUUUAAAUUCUUAUCCAGUUGAUUUUUUUUGUUGUUCUUUAAGUUUACAGUAGUUCAAUGGCUGCUUUCAUCUGUGAUUUGGGCUUUCAAACAGCACCAAACUCUGCUGUCCCAUCCUGUAAUCUGUCCAUUUAUUAUGGUGACUAGUGAACAGAGGCAACAUGUUAGUGCAAGCACUAUAAAAAUAUCUGUGAAGAAAACAUUCUUUCACUCUAAAGGAUAAGUUCCAUAAGAAUAUAUAUUCUUAAGUAUUUGCAAAACACUUAAAUAUGGUACGGAUUUUUCUUGUUAAAGGUGGUAAUAUCCUAAUUGUAAAUAUAUUCUUGUUUCUAUGAGUGACAAUGUAUCAUUUUACAGAUUUGUAAUCACAGAAAUCAAUUGCUAGAAUCCAUUUAAGAAAAUCAAAACAAUUUAACUGAUUUACUUAAAAAAUGCUUUGUUAGACUAUGGAAUUUAAAGUCCUCUUUCAAAAUUAAGGUUGUUUUAUGUAGCAAACUUAUUAUUACAUAUUACAUUCUAGUGGCAUGUAAAGACUUUUGAUUUAAAACAUGAAUUCUGUGUAAGUUCAAACUGAUGUCUUUGACUUUAGUUCCAGAACUCAAUUUCAGGACUUUCUGCUGCUGGUGGCUCAUGGCAGUACAUCAGUUCUUCCAAUAGGGAUGUGCUCAGGACAAAUUAGUGAACGUAAUUUUAGCUGUAUGAGGUCAUUACAAAUAUAGUCUUAGCUCUUCCUAGAGUGGACUUCAUUGUUAAUAUAAAUAUAUAUCUAUAGUUACUGACAUUUAUAUUAUUUGGCUCCUGUCCUAAGUUAUGGAUACAGUGAUGAUAAAAGCCCUUACCUAAGUGAGUCAUGCUUACUAAUUACUUCCAUGGUACUGGGUUCCUGUAAAUAAAGUUACUCAUGUAUUUAUAAGCAAGUCAAAAUUUAUACAUAUGUUUCUAAGAGUGAGUUAUCUUUCUCUCUGGGGCAAACAGCACAGUCUGCUGUUUGGAAAAGAAUGCUGAGAGUAAGGACAUCCAGGGUGCUUCCUCACUUCUGCGAGGGUGUGCGCUCUCCCCUGUCAUUGGAUAUCCAAAUAUAAUACUUAAUUUGGUCACAUUUUUAAGUUAAGACCCUUCUACAUUACUUCAAGGUAGGAAAUGGCUGUUGAUUUUUCCUCACUGUUUCCAAAAAGGCUGGGGUGAGAGAGUCUCAGUCUAAUUGUUUGUUCUAAAGAUGUAGCAUUCAAGACACAAAGCCUAGCAGUGUGACGUGGGAGAUCUCAAGACAAAGCAGCAGCCUCAACAUUUCUCUCUAAUGAGAACAGGAAAAGACGAUUGAGAUCCCGUAGGAAUGCAGUAUAUUAAAGAGAGAAGCAGAGCUCCCUUCAUGAAUGGAGAGAGAACCCUGGUGAAUGCUGGACUACCUGCUAUCUCUGGGUGUGACUAGGUGAGUGAAGGAUUUGGAUCACAGCCUGUAACGUUUUCCAGACAUUUAGAUUGCAACUACUACGCCAGCAAUUUUAUGCCUUCCUUUCCCUGACUCCAACAGUACGCAAGAUAAGCAGCCAGAUUUUCUUCUGCAUUGUGUUUUUUAUCCAUUCAGCCAAAAUUAACAGUCUUCAAGGAUAAUGUAUGCCAAGUGAAUUUAAAUCUUGCGGACUCAAAUCGACCUAAAGUUGAUGGAUACAUUCAUGCCUACUGCUGAAAUCUACCAAUUACACAGAACUAUGCUAACUUACCAUAGAAACAUCUCAUCUAAUAGCACAGAUGAUGUUGAACUAACUAAUUACAUUAUGGCACAUAGACAAUGAAAAACAUAACGAAGAUGACAGCACAGCAACAACAGAUGCUGCACAAAAGAAAAAUUAGAAAAAUAUUGCUCUGCAAAAUGCUGUCUGUUAAGGUUUCUUCUGUUAAAAUUAAUCACAAAAAUUAGUGAAGAUUAGAUUUCAGCAGAAGAUAUGAGCAUUGUAAUGCUAUUUGGAAAACGUCAUUAAACCAUUUAAAGUCCUACUCCUUCAGAAGGUAAUUCCCAUUUUUCGUAUCACUAUCAGUUUUAAGAUGAGUAAACAGUUUAGUGCCGAUGGCAGUUUCUUGGGAGAAUAUCUUUCCCAGGGAGGAGAGGUCCCGAUGGCUUUUCCAGAGCUGUGUUUGGUAGCUUCCAGCCAUUAGAACUUAGAUAAUUAGGCAACUCAGAUUUUAUUUUAGCUUGGCAUUUGCUCCGUUCUGUGCUCUUGGCUGUCAGUGACAGUUGAUUAUCUGUAGCGUGCCUUGUUACUUUAUAUAUUUUAAACUGUAACAGAUCCUAAAUACCAAAUCUGAAACUGCUGAGUGUGUUUAAAUGUAAUAUAUACAUGGGGAUUACAUCCAGAUGAUACACUUCAUAGACCUGUGAUAAAAAAAAAAAAGCAUCACUUCUAGCCACCACGCUGGUCCUCAUCCCCUUCUCCCCCGCCCCCCACCCGGUAGCUUUCCAUGAGCUCCCGGCUGCUUCAGCACCAAUCCUGAACGUAAUCCAGCUGAUGGAAAGAGACAGAAAUGGGCUUUUCCCCUAAAUAUGUAUUUCCUCUAAAAAUACCUCUGAUGCUACUCAAGUUUCAAUACCUUAUUGGCUUUAUAAGAAAGCAAAACAUCUAUUUGGUAUCCUGUUUCUCCCAGUUUCUUUAUUUUUUAGAGAGACUCUUUUUUCUCUUCAGAUGUGCGGUUCCCGGGCGCGCAGCUGCCCGUCCGGCGGCGGCCGGGGUGCAGGCACGGCGGAGGCCCACAGGUGGCGGUGUGGUCCAAGCACACCUGGGCCGUGAUUGCAGAGCCGGCGGCCGGCCGGCCUGCCGGGAGAGCGCUCCGCUUCUGCCGCCUGCGCGUCUGCUGCGGGGAAAGACUCCCGCCUGAAGUUCCGCGCACCGGAGCUGGCGUGCCCCAGCUUUGAGCGGGGACAGAAACCUUCUGUCGAUCCUGCAACGGCUGCCGCACACAAAGGUGCCGUCGGUUCACCCGGUGGGCGCCGAGCGCCGGGUACGGCGCUGGCGGUGCCCCGAGUGCUGCGGCCAGCCGCCCACGGCAGGGUCAGCCCUCCCACCGCGCCCUGCCGUCCUGCCUGGCAGCGGGAACCGGCCCCGUGAAGUUCGGUUCUUUCACAGCCGUGCGACAUCUCGGCCCUGCGCCGCGCGCAUCUGUGCGCGCUGCGUGACGGACGCCUGCACGCGCUCUGCACGUCGGUGCCAGGCAGGAGCGGCUGCUCGUGUCCGCACAGCGCGUGCCGGGCGCGCCGGGACAGCGCCUCGUGCUUGAGGGCACUUCGAACAUUUCGAGGGGCUUUUCGGCCGGGUGCGCUCACGCUCGUCUUGCGCGGCACGCUUAGGCCUCAGAAGCGCGCCGUUAGUACGCAUUUGUUCCACUUCCAAGAGUCCCUACUGAGCGUUACUUCUGAUUCACCGCCAUCCCCGGGCUUCCCUCUCAGAAACCCGUCUUCUCAAGCGUCCGCCCGCAGCACCGUGACCCUCGCGGGGCGCUGCCGUAGCGGCGGGCCGUACCCCGGCGCCGACUUGCAGCCGCUGGUUUGGGGCUGCGGGGGGGCGGUCCGCCCGGCAGACA